rnacentral:lncRNA from 1 species
GUAAAAAUGGCCAGUAUUUCAGGUACCAUGGUUAGCACCUCUUUCCUCCCAAGGAAACCAGUAGUGACUAGCCUGAAAGCCAUACCAAAUGUUGGGCAAGCUCUCUUUGGUCUUAAAUCUCAGAGGGGUGGUAGGAUUACUUGCAUGGCCAGUUACAAAGUGAAGCUUAUUACACCAGAAGGAGCUGUUGAAUUUGAUUGUCCAGAUGAUGUUUACAUUCUUGAUCAAGCUGAGGAAAUGGGACAUGAUCUUCCUUACUCAUGCAGAGCUGGUUCUUGCUCUUCUUGUGCUGGAAAAGUUACAGCUGGAAAUGUUGAUCAGUCUGAUGGAAACUUUCUUGAUGAUGACCAAAUGGCUGAUGGAUUUGUGCUAAC